rnacentral:rRNA from 1 species
CAACGCGAAGAACCUUACCUACUCUUGACAUCCAGAGAACUUGGCAGAGAUGCUUUGGUGCCUUCGGGAACUCUGAGACAGGUGCUGCAUGGCUGUCGUCAGCUCGUGUUGUGAAAUGUUGGGUUAAGUCCCGCAACGAGCGCAACCCUUAUCCUUUGUUGCCAGCGCGUAAUGGCGGGAACUCAAAGGAGACUGCCGGUGAUAAACCGGAGGAAGGUGGGGAUGACGUCAAGUCAUCAUGGCCCUUACGAGUAGGGCUACACACGUGCUACAAUGGCGUAUACAAAGGGAAGCGACCCCGCGAGGGCAAGCGGAACUCACAAAGUACGUCGUAGUCCGGAUUGGAGUCUGCAACUCGACUCCAUGAAGUCGGAAUCGCUAGUAAUCGUAGAUCAGAAUGCUACGGUGAAUACGUUCCCGGGCCUUGUACACACCGCCCGUCACACCAUGGGAGUGGGUUGCAAAAGAAGUAGGUAGCUUAACCUCCGGGAGGGCGCUUACCACUUUGUGAUUCAUGACUGGGGUGAAGUCGUAAC